rnacentral:rRNA from 1 species
GGCCACGGGUUGUAAACCUCUUUUAGUAGGGAAGAAGCGAAAGGACGGUACCUGCAGAAAAAGCACCGGCUAACUACGUGCCAGCAGCCGCGGUAAUACGUAGGGUGCAAGCGUUGUCCGGAAGAUUGGGCGUAAAGAGCUCGUAGGCGGUUUGUCGCGUCUGCUGUGAAAUCCCGAGGCUCAACCUCGGGCUUGCAGUGGGUACGGGCAGACUAGAGUGCGGUAGGGGAGAAUGGAAAUCCUGGUGUAGCGGUGGAAUGCGCAGAUAUCAGGAGGAACACCGAAGGCGAAGGCAGAGCUCUGGGCCGUAACUGACGCUGAGGAGCGAAAGCACGGGGAGCGAACUGGAUUAGAUACCCUGGUAGUCCAUGCCGUAAACGUUGGGCGCUAGAUGUAGGGACCUUUCCACGGUUUCUGUGUCGUAGCUAACGCAUUAAGCGCCCCGCCUGGGGAGUACGGCCGCAAGGCCAAAACUCAUAGGAAUUGACGGGGGCCCGCACAAGCGGUGGAGCACGCGGAUUAAUUCGAUGCAACGCGAAGAACCUUACCAAGGCUUGACAUACACCGGAAACGGUCAGAGAUGGUCGCCUCCCUUGUGGUCGG